UAACAAACGCUAACGUUCGCUAAAAAUAUGAAUAGAAAUAAAAUAAUCCUCCCUUACCCCCCAUCCUUGGCUGAGAUGAAAGGCAGAGUAAACAGCUGCGUCACAGGUCGGGUGGUGGAGCGUGGCGAACGACUGUCCCCCUGGCAGCCUGUGACAGAGGGGGGUCAGGAGGGGCCCCCCACCUACAGAGAGGCCCAGGGGAGGGGUCUGUCUGUAGAAGCUCUGUCUGCAGAGUGAGAAGCCUGGGUCUGGUUCUGAUAGUGCCGUGACUGGUAGAGACAGCUCCAGAGUCAGAGUCAGCCCCAGCCAGAUCCACCCUGCCCAGCCUGCAUUACUGACACUGACACCAGCAGGACACCACCGCAGCAGCAGCAUGGUGAGCUCAGCAAACCCACACACUCACAGAGAGAGAGGCUGGUAAAUAA